UACGUAGGGUGCAAGCGUUGUCCGGAAUUAUUGGGCGUAAAGAGCUCGUAGGCGGUCUGUCGCGUCGAAUGUGAAAACCCGGGGCUCAACCCCGGGCCUGCAUUCGAUACGGGCAGACUAGAGUUCGGUAGGGGAGUCUGGAAUUCCAGGUGUAGCGGUGAAAUGCGUAGAUAUCGGGAGGAACACCAGUGGCGAAGGCGGCGAUCUGGGAAGAUACUGACGCUGAGGUGCGAAAGCGUGGGGAGCAAACAGG
rnacentral:rRNA from 1 species